rnacentral:rRNA from 1 species
UAUGGAUUAGGUGGGCAGACGGGUGAGUAAUGCGUAGGAUCUACCUAGUAGUACGGAAUAGCCAUUAGAAAUGGUGGGUAAUACUGUAUAAUCCCCGAGGGGGAAAGAUUUAUCGCUAUUAGAUGAGCCUACGUUAGAUUAGCUAGUUGGUGAGGUAAUGGCUUACCAAGGCUAUGAUCUAUAGCUGGUCUGAGAGGACGAUCAGCCACACUGGAACUGAGAUACGGUCCAGACUCCUACGGGAGGCAGCAGUGGGGAAUAUUGGACAAUGGGCGAAAGCCUGAUCCAGCUAUGCCGCGUGAGUGAAGAAGGCCUUCGGGUUGUAAAACUCUUUCAAUAGGGAAGAUAAUGCGGUUACCUAUAGAGCCCUUUCACCUAUUUCCUUUUUUUCCCAUUUACUUAAAAAUUUAAAAAAGUUCCAAAGCGAAUUUUUUUUGAAAACCUUCAAUUUUAAAAAUUUAACUAUACUGGGGGGGGGGGGGAAACCCCCCCCCCCCCAUUUUCGUAUUUUAAUGUAAAAAAAUUAAAUUUAUUAAUUUUGAACUUUUAAUUAAAAAUUUAAAUUUAACAUUUUAAAUUAUAAAAAUUAUACAUUUAUAAUUUUGAAGAGUAUUAAAUGCUUAUUGACUUAAAUCUAAAAUUCUUUAUUUUUAAACUUCAAAAUUAUUGAAAAUUUGACAAUUUAAUUUAACAAUUUUAACUUGGCAAGGUCAACUUCACUUAACCUCCAAUUACAUUUUAACUUAAAAAUUUCAUUAUUAAUUUAAUUUACUUUCCAAUUGAUUUUUUUAAAAUUGAAUUAUUCACAAUUUAAAAAUUUUUUAUUUAAUUUUAAAAAUAAAAUUCAAAUUAUUUAAAAAUUUCCUAAUUCUUUGAAUGCUUUUUAAUUCAAUUUUUCUUUUUAAAGUUACAAAUUUUUUGCAAAUUUUAAAUGGCCAAAAAUUUUAAAACUUAACUAAACCUUUGAAUCUUAACCCGAAUGGUUAAAAAACUUUUUAAAAUUUGACAAUCCUUGAGCUUAACUUUAAUCAAAUUCAACUUCAAAAAUCUUGUCAUACCUUUUGCAAUUCACAUGUAAUCACUCUUAAACACACCUUUACACACUCGCCAAAUUGACAAUUUCA